CCAGACAGACGCCCAUCUGUGUGUGGUGUGCGGUGUGUGGUGUGCGGUGUGUGGUGUGUGUGUGUGGUGUGUGGUGUGUGGUGUGUGUGUGUGUGCCUUAAUAAUAGUCUAAGCCCAUCCGUCAGAUUAAUAAGGCGUGGAAGAGGAGUCGUGGAGGCGUGCAAUGUCUCUCAUGCAGGGCUUUCACAAGCCUGGCCUCACCACGUCACCCUCCACAUCUCUCAUCAUCAGCCCAUCUCUCAUCACACUCAUCAUACUCAUCACACUCAUCACACUCAUCACUCUCAUCACUCUCAUCACACUCAUCACUCUCAUCAGCCCGUCUCUCAUCACACUCAUCACACUCAUCACACUCAUCACUCCCAUCACACUCAUCACACUCAUCACACUCAUCACUCCCAUCACACUCAUCACACUCAUCACACUCAUCACACUCAUCACUCCCAUCACACUCAUCACACUCAUCACACUCAUCACUCUCAUCACACUCAUCACACUCAUCACUCUCAUCACUCUCAUCACACUCAUCACUCUCAUCACACUCAUCACACUCAUCACUCUCAUCACUCUCAUCACACUCAUCACUCUCAUCAGCCCGUCUCUCAUCACACUCAUCACACUCAUCACACUCAUCACUCUCAUCAGCCUGUCUCUCAUCACACUCAUCACACUCAUCACACUCAUCACUCUCAUCACACUCAUCACACUCAUCACACUCAUCACACUCAUCAGCCCGUCUCUCAUCAGCCCGUCUCUCAUCACACUCAUCACACUCAUCACACUCAUCACACUCAUCACACUCAUCACACUCAUCACACUCAUCACUCUCAUCACUCUCAUCACUCUCAUCAGCCCGUCUCUCAUCACUCUCAUCACUCUCAUCACACUCAUCACACUCAUCACUCUCAUCACACUCAUCACACUCAUCACACUCAUCACACUCAUCAGCCCGUCUCUCAUCAGCCCGUCUCUCAUCACACUCAUCACACUCAUCACUCUCAACACACUCAUCACACUCAUCACACUCAUCACUCUCAUCACACUCAUCACACUCAUCACACUCAUCACACUCAUCACACUCAUCACUCUCAUCACUCUCAUCACACUCAUCACUCUCAUCACACUCAUCACUCUCAUCACACUCAUCACUCUCAUCACUCUCAUCACUCUCAUCACACUCAUCACUCUCAUCACUCUCAUCACACUCAUCACUCUCAUCAGCCCGUCUCUCAUCACACUCAUCACACUCAUCACACUCAUCACUCUCAUCACUCUCAUCACUCUCAUCACUCUCAUCACACUCAUCACUCUCAUCAGCCCGUCUCUCAUCACACUCAUCACACUCAUCACUCUCAUCAGCCCGUCUCUCAUCAGCCCGUCUCUCAUCACACUCAUCACACUCAUCACACUCAUCACUCUCAUCACACUCAUCACACUCAUCACACUCAUCACUCUCAUCACUCUCAUCAGCCCGUCUCUCAUCACACUCAUCACACUCAUCACUCUCAUCAGCCCGUCUCUCAUCAGCCCGUCUCUCAUCACACUCAUCACACUCAUCACACUCAUCACUCUCAUCACUCUCAUCACUCUCAUCACUCUCAUCAGCCCGUCUCUCAUCAGCCCGUCUCUCAUCACACUCAUCACUCUCAUCACACUCAUCACUCUCAUCACUCUCAUCACUCUCAUCACUCUCAUCACACUCAUCACUCUCAUCACACUCAUCACUCUCAUCACACUCAUCAGCCCGUCUCUCAUCACACUCAUCACUCUCAUCAGCCCGUCUCUCAUCACACUCAUCACACUCAUCACUCUCAUCACACUCAUCACACUCAUCACUCUCAUCACACUCAUCACUCUCAUCACACUCAUCACUCUCAUCAGCCCCUCUCCCAUCACACUCAUCACACUCAUCACUCUCAUCACACUCAUCACUCCCAUCACACUCAUCACACUCAUCACUCUCAUCACACUCAUCACACUCAUCACACUCAUCACUCUCAUCACUCUCAUCAGCCCGUCUCCCAUCACACUCAUCACACUCAUCACUCUCAUCACACUCAUCACACUCAUCACUCUCAUCAGCCCGUCUCUCAUCACACUCAUCACACUCAUCACACUCAUCACUCUCAUCACACUCAUCACUCUCAUCACACUCAUCACACUCAUCACUCCCAUCACACUCAUCACACUCAUCACACUCAUCACUCUCAUCACUCUCAUCACACUCAUCACACUCAUCACUCUCAUCAGCCCGUCUCUCAUCAGCCCGUCUCUCAUCACACUCAUCACUCCCAUCACACUCAUCACUCUCAUCACACUCAUCACUCUCAUCACACUCAUCACUCUCAUCACUCUCAUCAGCCCGUCUCUCAUCACACUCAUCACACUCAUCAGCCCGUCUCUCAUCACACUCAUCACUCUCAUCACACUCAUCACUCUCAUCAGCCCGUCUCUCAUCACACUCAUCACUCUCAACACACUCAUCACACUCAUCACUCUCAUCAGCCCGUCUCUCAUCACACUCAUCACACUCAUCAGCCCGUCUCUCAUCACACUCAUCACUCUCAUCACACUCAUCACUCUCAUCACUCUCAUCACACUCAUCACACUCAUCACUCUCAUCACUCUCAUCACACUCAUCACUCUCAUCACACUCAUCACUCUCAUCAGCCCGUCUCUCAUCACACUCAUCACACUCAUCACACUCAUCACUCUCAACACACUCAUCACUCUCAACACACUCAUCACACUCAUCACUCUCAUCAGCCCGUCUCUCAUCACACUCAUCACACUCAUCACACUCAUCACUCUCAACACACUCAUCACACUCAUCACUCUCAUCAGCCCGUCUCUCAUCACACUCAUCACACUCAUCACACUCAUCACUCUCAUCACACUCAUCACUCUCAUCACACUCAUCACACUCAUCACUCUCAUCACUCUCAUCACUCUCAUCACACUCAUCACACUCAUCACUCUCAUCACACUCAUCACUCUCAUCACACUCAUCACUCUCAUCACACUCAUCACACUCAUCACUCUCAUCACACUCAUCACACUCAUCACACUCAUCACUCUCAUCAGCCCGUCUCUCAUCCUCAUGGCACACUCUGAUCUCUCCUUUCAGACCCCACUACACUUGUUUCUUCUUUUCAGAUGUAUAUGUGUGUGUGUGUGUGUAAGAGAGAGACAGAGAAAAGAGAGUGCCUGUGUGUUUGUGUGUGUGUGUGUGUGUGUGAGAGAGAGAGUAUGCUUGUGUGCAUGUCUGUGUAGAUUGGGAAGUGUGAAUAAAUAAAUAGGAUCUGAGUGUGUGUGUGUGUGUGUAUGUGUGUGGGGGGUGUGUGUGUGUGUGCGUGUGUGUGUGUGGUGUGUGAUUGUGUGCCUGUGCGUGUGUGUGUGUGGUGUGUGAUUGUGUGCGUGUGUGUGUGUGUGUGUGUUUGUGUGAUUGUGUGCGUGUGCGAGUGAGUGUGUGUGUGUUUGUGUGAUUGUGUGCGUGUGCGAGUGAGUGUGUGUGAGUGUGUGUGUGUGUGGUAGCAGAUUGCUGAAUAUUUCCC
ensembl:lncRNA